AGAGAACUAGAGGCUGCAGCGGCAGCAGUUGGAGCAUCUCACUGCGGGGCUCGGGAAGGAGGAAAGGAGUGAGCAUGUCCUGCUCCUGCAUGUCCCUGCUUAAGCUCAGGACUGGCCCUUCCAGGCCAAGGACCCCAGCAUAGACCCCAGGACAGGGCCCCAAGGAUCCCUGGCUCAUGAGAGCGGCUUGCUGGGCUGCCCCAAGAGAGCCUGAAGGAAACACAUUGUUGAGCUGAGCUGACGUCGCUGUUUCUUCCAGACUGCUCUCUAAAGUGGGCAGGGUAGCGACCGGCCGGCUCCGAUGGUGACGUCCCACUGCCAAGGGGUGGGAGUGGGGAGAGUCUCCACAGAGCUUCGGAGAAGCUGCUAAGAUGGAAAAGUGGAAACUUGGCAGACAGAUCCAGCCUCCCUGGCCACUGGCCCAUGCUCGUGGCUCCUGGAUGGCGCUGCCACGUUCUGAGCAGCUUGGGACAGGUGGAGAUCAGGACUGGCAGCUGCAAGGACACACCAGGUGAAUAGGUUUCUUUAUGGUCCUCACACCUGCAGAAAACCAGGAGGAGCCACAGAAACUAAAGAGAAUUUCCAAAAGGAGUCUAUGGUGAAGUCUCUGAGGAUGCAAAGAAGACAAGGAGAAUGAAAAUCCAAUGAAAGCCUGAUUGUAUUUGUUGACCUUAAGGAAAGUGAUUUUAUGGUACAGCCUCUCUGGAAGGGAGGGUGUGUUCGCUCACAGAAUGCAAAUACCCUUUGACCCCCUAAUCUUUCUUCUAGGAGUUUCUCCUACAGAUAAACUUAGAAGGGUGCUCAAAUAAGUAAGUUCAAGGAUAUCCUCUGAAGCAUUGCCGUAGUAUAAAAAAAGCACAGAUACCCUCAAAGGACAUCAUUAGGGGCCUGGUAAAAUAAAUUCCACACAGUGGAACACCGUGUAGCUCUUUAGAGAAUAAACAGCUCUCUAUAUGUGAUCUGGAA
rnacentral:lncRNA from 10 species